rnacentral:rRNA from 1 species
UACGUAGGGUGCGAGCGUUGUCCGGAAUUAUUGGGCGUAAAGAGCUCGUAGGCGGUUUGUCGCGUCUGCUGUGAAAACCCGAGGCUCAACCUCGGGCCUGCAGUGGGUACGGGCAGACUAGAGUGUGGUAGGGGAGACUGGAAUUCCUGGUGUAGCGGUGGAAUGCGCAGAUAUCAGGAGGAACACCAAUGGCGAAGGCAGGUCUCUGGGCCACAACUGACGCUGGAGGAGCGAAAGCGUGGGGAGCGAACAGG